GGGAUAUUAGCUCAGUCGGUUAGAGCAGAGGACUCAUAAUCCUUUGGUCCAAGGUUCAAGUCCUUGAUGUCCCA
rnacentral:tRNA from 1 species